ACAUGUUCUUGAUAUUAUCAAGAGCUUUGGAAACUGCAUACGUUCCAUGCGCUUAUGAGACAUUUGUUGCGCAGUGUGUCCUCCCUGUAUAUUGCCGCCAAUUUCUCGGCAUUUUCAGCGGUUCAAACGUUUCUUCUGGGUUUCCGUUAUUUGAAAAAGGUGUCUAAUCGCCCGAUCAAUGUAGUGGAAGGGGUGAGUCGGCCAGUGAUGUCGAGAUGAGUGCGACACCUACGUGCAUCAACGUUUAGUGGACCUAAAGGACAUCGUCAGCACCGAGAUUUGCCAGCUGGAAACGCAGUGGGGCUACACGCAAUGGAGGCACGCGUACCAC
rnacentral:lncRNA from 1 species